UACAGAGGGGGCCAGCGUUAUUCGGAAUUAUUGGGCGUAAAGGGCGCGUAGGCUGCCACUCGUGUCUUCCGUGAAAUCCCUCGGCUCAACCGAGGACGUGCGGAAGAAACUGCGAGACUCGAGUCCAGAAGAGGGGGGCGGAAUUCCCAGUGUAGCGGUGAAAUGCGUAGAUAUUGGGAGGAACACCGGUGGCGAAGGCGGCCCCCUGGGCUGGUACUGACGCUGAUGCGCGAAAGCGUGGGUAGCAAACGGG
rnacentral:rRNA from 1 species